rnacentral:rRNA from 1 species
CAGGACUUGACAUCCCUCUGACCGGCGUGUAACGGCGCCCUCCCUUCGGGGCAGAGGAGACAGGUGGUGCAUGGUUGUCGUCAGCUCGUGUCGUGAGAUGUUGGGUUAAGUCCCGCAACGAGCGCAACCCUUGUCAUUAGUUGCCAGCAGGUUAAGCUGGGCACUCUAGUGAGACUGCCGGGGACAACUCGGAGGAAGGUGGGGAUGACGUCAAAUCAUCGUGCCCCUUAUGUUCUGGGCUACACACGUGCUACAAUGGCCGGUACAGAGAGACGCAAUGUCGCGAGGCGGAGCAAAACUCUAAAACCGGUCCCAGUUCGGAUUGCAGGCUGAAACUCGCCUGCAUGAAGUCGGAGUUGCUAGUAAUCGCGAAUCAGAAUGUCGCGGUGAAUGCGUUCCC